GAGCAAACAGGAUUAGAUACCCUGGUAGUCCACGCCGUAAACGAUGUCGACUUGGAGGUUGUGCCCUUGAGGCGUGGCUUCCGGAGCUAACGCGUUAAGUCGACCGCCUGGGGAGUACGGCCGCAAGGUUAAAACUCAAAUGAAUUGACGGGGGCCCGCACAAGCGGUGGAGCAUGUGGUUUAAUUCGAUGCAACGCGAAGAACCUUACCUGGUCUUGACAUCCACGGAACUUUCCAGAGAUGGGAAGGUGCCUUCGGGAACCGUGAGACAGGUGCUGCAUGGCUGUCGUCAGCUCGUGUUGUGAAAUGUUGGGUUAAGUCCCGCAACGAGCGCAACCCUUAUCCUUUGUUGCCAGCGGUCCGGCCGGGAACUCAAAGGAGACUGCCAGUGAUAAACUGGAGGAAGGUGGGGAUGACGUCAAGUCAUCAUGGCCCUUACGACCAGGGCUACACACGUGCUACAAUGGCGCAUACAAAGAGAAGCGACCUCGCGAGAGCAAGCGGACCUCAUAAAGUGCGUCGUAGUCCGGAUUGGAGUCUGCAACUCGACUCCAUGAAGUCGGAAUCGCUAGUAAUCGUGGAUCAGAAUGCCACGGUGAAUACGUUCCCGGGCCUUGUACACACCGCCCGUCACACCAUGGGAGUGGGUUGCAAAAGAAGUAGGUAGCUUAACCUUCG
rnacentral:rRNA from 1 species